rnacentral:rRNA from 1 species
AUUGAACGCUGGCGGCAUGCCUAACACAUGCAAGUCGAACGGUAACGCGGGGGCAACCCUCGGCGACGAGUGGCGGACGGGUGAGUAAUACUUAGGAAUCUGCCUAAUAGUGGGGGACGAACCCGAGGAAACUCGGGCUAAUACCGCAUACGACCUACGGGAGAAAGCGGGGGACCGGUAAGGCCUCGCGCUAUUAGAUGAGCCUAAGUCCGAUUAGCUAGUUGGCGGGGUAAUAGCCCACCAAGGCGACGAUCGGUAGCUGGUCUGAGAGGAUGAUCAGCCACACUGGGACUGAGACACGGCCCAGACUCCUACGGGAGGCAGCAGUGGGGAAUAUUGGACAAUGGGCGCAAGCCUGAUCCAGCAAUGCCGCGUGUGUGAAGAAGGCCUGCGGGUUGUAAAG